ensembl:snoRNA
AAGACUAUACUUUCAGGGAUCAUUUCUAUAGUUUGUUACUAGAGAAGUUUCUCUGAAUAUGUAGAGCACCGAAAACCACGAGGAAGAGAUGUAGUGUUCUUUCCUGAGCGUGAAGCGGGCUUUUGGUGUUGCUUCGUUGCAACCGCCAUUUGCUAUUGAUGAUCGUUCUUCUCCCCAUUGUGGGGAGUAAGAGGGAAAAAACACGGUCUGAGUGGUU